GAUGAACGCUAGCGGCAGGCUUAACACAUGCAAGUCGAGGGGCAGCAGGGGUAGCAAUACCCGCUGGCGACCGGCAAACGGGUGCGGAACACGUACGCAAUCUACCAUUGUCUGGGGCAUAGCCCGAAGAAAUUCGGAUUAAUACCCCAUAAUAUAUUGAGAGGGCAUCUUUUUGAUAUUAAAACUCCGGUGGACAAUGA
rnacentral:rRNA from 1 species